GACGAACGCUGGCGGCGCGCCUAACACAUGCAAGUCGAACGGAGCUGAGAGAAGCUUGCUUUUCUUAGCUUAGUGGCGAACGGGUGAGUAACGCGUGAGUAACCUGCCCUGGAGUGGGGGACAACAGUUGGAAACGACUGCUAAUACCGCAUAAGCCCACGAUCCGGCAUCGGAUUGAGGGAAAAGGAUUUAUUCGCUUCAGGAUGGACUCGCGUCCAAUUAGCUAGUUGGUGAGGUAACGGCCCACCAAGGCGACGAUUGGUAGCCGGACUGAGAGGUUGAACGGCCACAUUGGGACUGAGACACGGCCCAGACUCCUACGGGAGGCAGCAGUGGGGGAUAUUGCACAAUGGGGGAAACCCUGAUGCAGCGACGCCGUGUGGAGGAAGAAGGUUUUCGGAUUGUAAACUCCUGUCGUUAGGGACGAUAAUGACGGUACCUAACAAGAAAGCACCGGCUAACUACGUG
rnacentral:rRNA from 1 species